UCCAGGACCAUGUAGGGUCCAGGUAUGGA
rnacentral:sRNA from 1 species